rnacentral:tRNA from 1 species
GGAUUGUAGCUCAGUGGCAGAGCACUUGCCUUGCAGGUAAGAGGCACUGGAUUCUAUCCUCAGGACCACAUGAAAAUAAAUAAAUAAAAUAAAGGUAUUGUGUCCAUCUACAACUAAAAAAAAAAAAAAUUUAAAAAAAGAAGAAAGAAAGAAAAAUGCAGUUAGGGCUGGAGGUAUAGCCACUUGCCUAAUGUGCCUGAAGGUCCUGGGUUCCAUCCCCAACACCA